rnacentral:rRNA from 1 species
GACGAACGCUGGCGGCGUGCUUAACACAUGCAAGUCGAACGGAGAAGCCCUGGCUUGGUGGGGUGGAUGAGUGGCGAACGGGUGAGUAACACGUGAGUAACCUGCCCCUGACUUUGGGAUAAGCGCUGGAAACGGCGGCUAAUACUGGAUACGAGAACGGGCUGCAUGGGGGCGGUCGGGAAGGUUCUGCGGUUGGGGAUGGGCUCGCGGCCUAUCAGCUUGUUGGUGGGGUAGUGGCUCACCAAGGCGACGACGGGUAGCCGGCCUGAGAGGGUGACCGGCCACACUGGGACUGAGACACGGCCCAGACUCCUACGGGAGGCAGCAGUGGGGAAUAUUGCACAAUGGGCGGAAGCCUGAUGCAGCGACGCCGCGUGCGGGAUGACGGCCUUCGGGUUGUAAACCUCUUUCGGCUGGGACGAAGCGAGAGUGACGGUACCUGGUGAAGAAGCACCGGCUAACUACGUG